UGUAAAGUUCAAGCUCCGAUUAUGAGGGCGAAACCGCGAAUGGCUCAUUAAAUCAGUCAUAAUCUACUUGAUUGUUUCAAGUUUAUAUGGAUAACUGUGGUAAUUCUAGAGCUAAUACAUGCACAAAUGGGGCGACUUCUGCAAGGAAGAAGCUCUGCGUUUAUUAGACUAAGACCGGCUGGGCCUCGCGUCCAACUUUGUUAAGGUGACUCUGAGUAAAUAAUGGGUGAAAGCCCAUGUUGCUGACCUGACACACCAAAAGGGCCCUCAAAAGCUCUGUCAGGCAAAUCAAUCGAGUGUCUGCUCUAUCAACUGUGGAUGGUAGGAUAAUUGCCUACCAUGGUGAUGACGGGUAACGGGGAGUUAGGGCUCGACUCCGGAGAACAAGCCUGAGAAACGGCUAGUAGGACUAAGGUCUGCAGCAGGCGCGAAACUUACACAAUGCUAGAUUAGAAUUAGCGAUGUAGUGAAGAAAAAUAACGAUGUACUUCCAUUUAAACAUGGUAGUACAAUUGGAAUGAGACGACUAUAAACCAGUUAGUCGAGUAACAAAUGGAGGGCAAGUCUGGUGCCAGCAGCCGCGGUAAUUCCAGCUCCAUUAGCAUACAUUAAAGUUGUUGCGGUUAAAAAGCUCGUAGUUGAAUUUCUAGUGGGUUCUAUUGGGGUGCAACCGUUAAGGUUGGCAGCUCGGACGCAAGUCCGUCUCCAACUGGUUGUCAUCUUCCAUUAGGAGCCCACUGUUUCGUCACUUAAUCGAGUGCGAAGCAGGCUGGGACAAGGGUUCACCUCUCCGGAGGUGCCCUGUUACAGCAAGUUUACCUUGAGAAAAUUAGAGUGCUCACAGCAGGCAGUUGGGAGGUAAAAGUCCCUUUAUGCUUGAAUAAUGUUGCAUGGAAUAAUAGAAUACGGCCUCGGUUCUAUUCUGUUGGUCUUAUAGAACAACAAACAAGUUGGUUAGGGCGAUCAAAAGUCCUUUUGGAGUGUGGUCGAGCGUUGCUUGUUUGGAGUUGCAUGCAUGCACUAGCGUGUUGUCUGGAGCCUUAAAAUUCCAGUACCGCCUAGUCGUCUUACAACUGCCUACUUGGAGCCUCAACCAUCAAAAGCACUCCUCAAGUGGCUAGCUCUUCAACCAACUGAGGCAAUGGUUAAAAGAAAUAGUCGCGGCGGCAUCAGUACUGCAUCGUGAGAGGUGAAAUUCUUAGACCGAUGCAAGACUAACUGAAGCGAAAGCGUUUGCCGAGGAUAUUUUCAUUAAUCAAGAACGAAAGUUAGAGGUUCGAAGGCGAUCAGAUACCGCCCUAGUUCUAACCAUAAACGUUGCCAACUAGCAAUUGGGUUGCGAUUCCUUUAAUCGAAGCUUAAAACCUUCGAUCAUUAUGAUCCACCCAGCGGCUCUCGUAGGGAAACCAAAGUGUUUGGGUUCCGGGGGAAGUAUGAUUGCAAAGUUGAAACUUAAAGGAAUUGACGGAAGGGCACCACCAGGAGUGGAGCCUGCGGCUUAAUUUGACUCAACACGGGGAAACUUACUAGAUUAAAACUCUGGAAUGAUUGACAGAUUGAUAGCUCUUUCUUGAUUCAGAGGAUGGUGGUGCAUGGCCGUUCUUGAUUCGUAUUCCGAAACGUCUGCUUAAUUGCGAUAACGAGUGAGACCUCAUCCAACUAACUAGUCGCUUGGUGCGCUAAGGACGCUCAAGUUUUUGGCGGAUGCUUCGUAGUGAGGUAGCAAUGCCGAGCUGCGUUCGCCGUCAGAAAUGUCCUCUGCUCGCCAGCGGACUUCUUAGAGGGAUAAACGGUGUUUUAGCCGUAAGAAACGAGGCAAUAACAGGUCUGUGAUGCCCUUAGAUAUUCUAGGCCGCACGCGUGCUACAAUGGCGUGUGCAGAAAGCUUGUUCGAGGUUCGUCCAGGGAGAACUAGUCGCUUGGUUGUGCUUGUGAGUAGCAAUACAAGCUUGCAUGAUCGGCGGCCAAGUGACCCUGGUUCUAACGAGCCGAGAGAAACCGCAGUCGAAAGAUUGCGGCAAUCAAAAAUACACGCCGUGAUUUGGGAUUGGGGAUUGCAAUUGUUGCCCAUGAACGAGGAAUUCCCAGUAAGCGCAAUUCAUCAUAUUGCGUUGAUUACGUCCCUGCCCUUUGUACACACCGCCCGUCGCUACUACCGAUUGGAAGUUUUAGUGAGGCAUUUGGACCUGCUGUCUCAAGGAAGGGGCAACUCUUCCGUGACGGCGGGGAAGUCUGUCGAACUCAAAUUUCUAGAGGAAGUAAAAGUCGUAACAAGGUUUCCGU
rnacentral:rRNA from 1 species